rnacentral:rRNA from 3 species
CUUUUAAUGAGAGUUUGAUCCUGGCUCAGGACGAACGCUGGCGGCGUGCCUAAU